GACGAACGCUGGCGGCGUGCCUAAUACAUGCAAGUCGAGCGAAGCGGCAGAUGGGUGAGAAACGCGUGGGGAACAUGCCCUUAAAUCGGGGAUACUAUUUGGCAACAGAUGCUAAUACCGGAUACUAAAGGAUGGAGCUGCGCGGCAUGAGCUAGAUGUGCAGGUAACGGCUUAACAAGGCGAUGAUGCAUAGACGAGUUGAGAGACGGAUCGGCCACAUUGGGACUGAGACACGGCCCAAACUCCUACGGGAGGCAGCAGUAGGGAAUCUUCCACAAUGGACGAAAGUCUGAUGGAGCAACGCCGCGUGAGUGAAGAAGGUUUUCGGAUCGUAAAGCUCUGUUGUUGGUGAAGCGGUAAUCAACCAGAAAGUCACGGCUAACUACGUGCCAGCAGCCGCGGUAAUAC
rnacentral:rRNA from 1 species